UUUUAAAUCGUUUUCAUUUAGCGCCAUUUCAGGUCUACAACAGGCUAUAGCUACAGACUUCAGCUCUUCUGCUUCGGAAGCUUCGUACAAUAAACAUUAAUUUUCCCUGGUGAGAGACCUGGACAGUAACAGACUGAGAGCCUCGUCAGGAGGGUUCGGGAGUUCAACAUGGCGGCAGCUAAAUUCCAGAGAUUUGUUGUAAACAGCGCUGUAGUUGGUGGUGUGAUGUUUUGCGGUUGGGUCAUGAUGAAAGCAUUGACCCCUACCAAAGAGCAAAUGAUGGAAAGACUUUCACUUGAUCCAGACGAAUACAUGUCUGCUCAGAAGAAAAGAAAUGCACAGCUAUUUGCUACAAUACAGCAACAUAUUGAUUCUCCUGAUCCAGUGUGGAAAAUCAAGCCUCUGCAGCUUGAAGGACAAUCAAAUUUGAAAGAAGAAAACACAUCAAAUUAGAUCAAUACUAAAUUGUAAUUUGUCUCUCAGGAGAGGUGGAAUAUUGGAUGGGAUGUUCUAAGGAAUAUUUUAACUGUAAAGGAAUAAGUACUAUUAAGUAAAAUGGCAUGCAUUAGUGCUGUGUAAUCAGUAGUAUAUAUAAUCAUUAUAAUGACACAAUCUACAAUAUUUUAUUUAAAAAAGUCCAACCACUUAUUUUACAUAUCUUACAUGAAGUUUUGGUUGUCAUUCAAAAUGGCGGAGGCAAAGCUUGUGUUGAAAGGAGGGGAAACAUUUCAUUUUAAUGAUAAUAGCACUCCCUGCAUGAAAAUGAAAGAUUGCAUAUCCUCAGUCAGUUGUAUUCAAAAAAAGGUGAAUGAAAAACUCACAGAAAUAGUGAACACUGAAAAGAAAGAAAGCAAUGGGAAAACUAACUAUGCAGAUACUAUGAAUGGAUCAGAUGACGAAAAAUGUGAUGAUGAUAGCGAUGAUGAACCGAAUCCAAAAAAGAAGAGAAAGGAAUGAGAUCACUUUCCCAUGAAGGUCAACAAACAAUAAACAUUUGUUGUUUUAUUCACAAAGUCAUACGAAAAGACUGUACAAUUACAAAUAGAAAUUUAACUUUGUUCCUAUGGAAA